rnacentral:snoRNA from 14 species
GUCGACGUACUUCAUAGGAUCAUUUCUAUAGGUCACGUCCCUCUUUGACUCUUCAAAAGAGCCACUGAAUCCAACUUGGUUGAUGAGUGAGAUACCCUUAUACCCUCAAAGUGAGAACUAUAUUUAGCUUGUCUGUAAUCCUUAGCGAUUCGGUCAUCUAUUAUUUGUUUGCCUUUUAUCUUGAAGAUUUGGAAUUUAUUCCUCAUCUUUACAAAAGGAGCGAUGAUCUUUACCCUUUUUUAUAUACUUCUUCGGAUGUUUUAAACUAGGGUGGGUGUAAGUGGCUGUCUGACAAGU